UUCAAGCGAACAAAAUCUCUAUCAAAAUCUGUUUCCACAAAAUUUUUUGAACAUAGCCAGAGUGUAUUGCUAGUUGGUAACCACAGUGAUCCAUCUGGGUUAGCUCUUUCUAUUGCUAAUGCCCACUUUUACCUUAAGUCUGAAUCCAUUGGAAACCUGCAAGAAAAGUUCAGUCACUGAGUCAAAAAUGUAUAUUACAAUUAUACUCUAGUCCUAGUAUACUGAAUAUGGGUUUAACAAAACAAAGUUUACAUUUAUGUCAACAGCAAAUUAUACGUACAUCAUGCAGCAUGUUGAUAAAAGCCCUUCAGCAUCAUGCAUCUCAACAUGAUUAACAUAAUUAAUGAAGCCCAUGCAGCAUUAAAAGAAAAGAAUAAUAGUACUUACCUGUUAAAUGUUCUCCCUUCCUCCUUCGUGGACUCAUUUCUCCGAUUUUGGCAGUUGAAACCCGCACAAUGAACUGGGAUUUGCAAAAAAUGUGUUCACAUGCGAUGCAGCAGCGACUUGACCUCACCAAGAUGGCGGUGCUCUGCUCCCAUGAGUUAACAUGUGAUGUCUCUUCUAGCGAUAUAACUCAUUGCUUCUACAACCCUCUACUUGAAGCCUAAAUCGUCAGCUCACGGGCGCCGCCAUAUUGGCUGCAGGUAACUCCGCCUAACUGGGACGUUCCAAAUAUGGGGAAAAGAGGCAGGACCGAAUGAAGUCGAUUUUUUGCUCUUUUGUUUUUGUCCACGCCCACGGUACAUGUCGGUCUGCCGGCUAGUCCCUCCAUGCUAACGCCAACUGCUUUAGCCAAGGUCUCCAGCAAGGCAACGCAGUGGUGGACUAAACUUUACAUCAUGAAUCUGUAUCGCCUACAAGGAAGAGCAGCUUUUGCUUAAUAGGAGAGAUCAGGAGUCUGGAAGUGGUUGACAGGCCGAAACAGGAUGUCCAGCAGCAGCACGGUGGACUGAAUUUUCAUUAAUUUAUUUUUUAUUAAAAAUAUCUUUCAGUGGGUUGAAAUGUACUCUUUAGGAUAAUUUAUUAGGUACUCUGUUUUUUGAAAAUAAAAACAUAUUGUACAGACCUGACCGUGACUCCUAUUUCCUCUUGUUUUACUUGCAUAAUUAAACAUCAAUGUGAAUAAACAUAAGAUUGGUCGCUCAGCUGUUUCCUUUUUUCAUUGAAUCACACGCUUCAGCAGGAGUCGUCCACAGAUUUCAUAUUUAAACAUUUGUCUGCCUUAAAUUUUGGAUGGUGUUGGUUUCCACUCAUUGCGAAAAGACGAAGGCCUAGAGAGGAACAUACGAGACAAAUACAUAAAAUCAAAACCACAAAACAAAAAGCAAAACAUAAAAACAAUUAAAA